UAGGGAAUCUUCCACAAUGGACGCAAGUCUGAUGGAGCAACGCCGCAUGAGUGAAGAAGGGUUUCGGCUCGUAAAGCUCUGUUGUUAAAGAAGAACGUGGGUAAGAGUAACUGUUUACCCAGUGACGGUAUUUAACCAGAAAGCCACGGCUAACUACGUGCCAG
rnacentral:rRNA from 1 species